AACCUGGCCUGGCAACAUCACCUCUUCUGGGCUCCAUUUUAUCAUUGCUGAGUUGGAAAGAGGGAGCAAUUGUCAGAUCCCUUGCUGGCCACUGUGGGUGAACCCCAGAUCAUUAACCCUGGACCUCAAAGGUGGUGUGUGUAUAUGAGGUGAACCUGGGAGAAAUCUCCUCUAACAGCAAGUGGAAUGUAAGGGUGCUCAGGGCAAGAGAACUGGGAGAACUCAUCAGACUAUAAACAGCCAGCCAAAGGGGGCAUUGCUCGCCUCUGAGCCCCUGGCCUGGGCUGUGACUGACCUACAGAGACCACUGGAUAUCCUUCCUCAUCUAAACAGGAUAAAAUGACUGCAUUUGAAUUUCACUCACCCGAGAUGGUUCCUCCCCUCUGCCUGCAAUGACCCUGGAUUCUGGCUCACUUCUGGCUUCUUACUGAACACGUCACAGCUAAGACUAAGCACCAUGUAUCAGCUUCCACUGAUCCUGAAAGAAAAUACUGUUUGAAAAAAGCUUCUUUCAUGCACAGCUUCAAGAAAAUCAGAACACCAUUCACUUCUCAAACCACCCAUAAGGUAAUUCAAGUGUCAAAAAGUGUUCAACGCAAACAGAAGAAGGGGAGAGGGAGCAUGAUACAGUCUGAGAAUUUUUUUUUGUAUUCAAAAGUGUUUCCCUUUUAAUGUUCAGCAAUUUUCAUGACAUGUGAAUAGUAUUCUAAGCUGUUA